rnacentral:rRNA from 1 species
UACGAAGGUCCCAAGCGUUAUCCGGAUUUAUUGGGUUUAAAGGGUGCGUAGGCGGGCUAUUAAGUCAGUGGUGAAAGCCCCAGCUUAACUUGGGAACUGCCAUUGAUACUGAUGGUCUUGAGUACAUUUGAGGUGGGCGGAAUGUGUCAUGUAGCGGUGAAAUGCUUAGAUAUGACACAGAACACCGAUUGCGAAGGCAGCUCACUAAACUGUAAACUGACGCUGGAGGCACGGAAAGCGUUGGGGAGCAAACAGG